rnacentral:rRNA from 1 species
ACGUAAACAACCUGCCUUCAGGAUGGGGACGAACAGACGGAAACGACUGCUAAUACCGAAUAAGUUCCAAGAGCCGCAUGGCCCAUGGAAGAAAAGGUGGCCUCUACCUGUAAGCUAUCGCCUGAAGAGGGGUUUGCGUCUGAUUAGCUGGUUGGAGGGGUAACGGCCCACCAAGGCGACGAUCAGUAGCCGGUCUGAGAGGAUGAACGGCCACACUGGAACUGAGACACGGUCCAGACUCCUACGGGAGGCAGCAUG